rnacentral:rRNA from 1 species
GGUGGAGUGAUUUGUCUGGUUUAUUCCGAUAACGAACGAGACUCUAACCUGCUAACUAGAUCACGGAUAGUUUAGUCCGUCGAACUUCUUAGAGGGAUCAGCGGUGUUCAGCCGCACGAAAUUGAGCAAUAACAGGUCUGUGAUGCCCUUAGAUGUCCGGGGCUGCACGCGCGCUACACUGGAAGGUGCAGCGUGCUCUUUUCCUCUGCCGAAAGGCAUUGGUAAACCCUUGAAACCCUUCCGUGAUCGGGAUAGGGAAUUGCAAUUAUUUCCCUUCAACGAGGAAUUCCCAGUAAGUGUGAGUCAUCAGCUCACGUUGAAUACGUCCCUGCCCUUUGUAC